rnacentral:rRNA from 1 species
UAACACAUGCAAGUCGUACGGGAAAAUUUAUUUUCCUAGUGGCGGACGGGUGCGUAACACGUAAGAACCUACCUUUUGGAGGGGGAUAACAUCGGGAAACUGAUGCUAAUACCCCGUAAUAGCUGAGGAGUGAAAGCGGUUUUCCGCGCCAAGAGAGGGGCUUGCGGCUGAUUAGCUAGUUGGUGGGGGUAACGGCCUCCCAAGGCCACGAUCAGUAGCUGGUUUGAGAGGACGAUCAGCCACACUGGGACUGAGACACGGCCCAGACUCCUACGGGAGGCAGCAGUGAGGAAUUUUCCACAAUGGGCGAAAGCCUGAUGGAGCAAUACCGC